GAGGGUUUGAUCCUGGCUCAGGAUGAACGCUGGCGGCGUGCCUAAUACAUGCAAGUCGAGCGAACGGACGAGAAGCUUGCUUCUCUGAUGUUAGCGGCGGACGGGUGAGUAACACGUGGAUAACCUACCUAUAAGACUGGGAUAACUUCGGGAAACCGGAGCUAAUACCGGAUAAUAUUUUGAACCGCAUGGUUCAAAAGUGAAAGACGGUCUUGCUGUCACUUAUAGAUGGAUCCGCGCUGCAUUAGCUAGUUGGUAAGGUAACGGCUUACCAAGGCAACGAUGCAUAGCCGACCUGAGAGGGUGAUCGGCCACACUGGAACUGAGACACGGUCCAGACUCCUACGGGAGGCAGCAGUAGGGAAUCUUCCGCAAUGGGCGAAAGCCUGACGGAGCAACGCCGCGUGAGUGAUGAAGGUCUUCGGAUCGUAAAACUCUGUUAUUAGGGAAGAACAUAUGUGUAAGUAACUGUGCACAUCUUGACGGUACCUAAUCAGAAAGCCACGGCUAACUACGUGCCAGCAGCCGCGGUAAUACGUAGGUGGCAAGCGUUAUCCGGAAUUAUUGGGCGUAAAGCGCGCGUAGGCGGUUUUUUAAGUCUGAUGUGAAAGCCCACGGCUCAACCGUGGAGGGUCAUUGGAAACUGGAAAACUUGAGUGCAGAAGAGGAAAGUGGAAUUCCAUGUGUAGCGGUGAAAUGCGCAGAGAUAUGGAGGAACACCAGUGGCGAAGGCGACUUUCUGGUCUGUAACUGACGCUGAUGUGCGAAAGCGUGGGGAUCAAACAGGAUUAGAUACCCUGGUAGUCCACGCCGUAAACGAUGAGUGCUAAGUGUUAGGGGGUUUCCGCCCCUUAGUGCUGCAGCUAACGCAUUAAGCACUCCGCCUGGGGAGUACGACCGCAAGGUUGAAACUCAAAGGAAUUGACGGC
rnacentral:rRNA from 1 species